UGCGGAUUGGUGUAAUGGUAACAUGUCUGACUCAUGAUCAGGCGAUCAGGGUUCAAAUCCUUGGUCCGCAC
rnacentral:tRNA from 1 species